rnacentral:ribozyme from 13 species
UGUCCAAAAAGAAGGAAAGAAACAAAACAGAAAAUUAAUUGAAGGAGACCCAGAAUCACCCACAUCAAGACAAACCUCUCAUUUUAUUCACUCAAAAUUUUCAAACUCAAGUCGGGGGAGUACUCUUUCUUCUCCUUUUUCCUCUCC